UGGGGAAUAUUGCACAAUGGAGGGAACUCUGAUGCAGCGACGCCGCGUGAGUGAUGAAGGAAUUCGUUUCGUAAAACUCUGUUCUAUGGGAAGAAAAGGACUGUACCAUAGGAGAAAGCUCCGGCUAAAUACGUGCCAGCAGCCGCAGUAAUACGUAUGGAGCGAGCGUUGUUCGGAAUUAUUGGGCGUAAAGGGUGCGCAGGCGGCUUUACAAGUUGGAUGUGAAAUAUUGUGGCUCAACCACAAACGUGCAUCCAAAACUGCAAAGCUUGAGUUAAGGAGAGGUAAGUGGAAUUCCUGGUGUAGCGGUGGAAUGCGUAGAUAUCAGGAGGAAUACCGGUGGCGAAGGCGACUUACUGGACUUAAACUGACGCUCAGGCACGAAAGCGUGGGGAGCAAACAGG
rnacentral:rRNA from 1 species